rnacentral:rRNA from 1 species
AGUGAACGCUGGCGGUAGGCCUAACACAUGCAAGUCGAACGGCAGCACAGUAAGAGCUUGCUCUUACGGGUGGCGAGUGGCGGACGGGUGAGGAAUACAUCGGAAUCUACUUUUUCGUGGGGGAUAACGUAGGGAAACUUACGCUAAUACCGCAUACGACCUACGGGUGAAAGCAGGGGAUCUUCGGACCUUGCGCGAUUGAAUGAGCCGAUGUCGGAUUAGCUAGUUGGCGGGGUAAAGGCCCACCAAGGCGACGAUCCGUAGCUGGUCUGAGAGGAUGAUCGCCCCACUUGAACCUAGACACCGUCCCGACCCCUACGGGAGGCAGCAGGUGGGAAUAUUGGACAAUGGGCCCAAGCCUUAUCCAGGCCUACCGCGGUGGUGAAGGAGGCCUUCGGGUUGUAAAGCCCUUUUUUUUGGAAAAAAAAGCAGCCGGUUAAUUCCCCGCUUUUCUGACGGUUCCCAAAGAAUAAGAACCCGCUUACUUCGUU